UAACGGAUAUUCCGCAAUGCGCGAAAGCGUGACGGAGCAAUGCCGCGUGCGGGACGAAGCCCCUCGGGGUGUAAACCGCUGUCAGGGUUUAGGAAUCCAUGACCAGACCCAGAGGAAGGGCCGGCUAACUCUGUGCCAGCAGCCGCGGUAAUACAGAGGGCCCGAGCGUUGAUCGGAAUCACUGGGCUUAAAGGGUGCGCAGGCGGAACGGCCAGUGCGCUGUGAAAUCCCCCGGCUCAACCGGGGAAUCGCUCCGCAGACUGCCGUUCUUGAGCACGACAGGGGCCGUCGGAACGCUAGGUGGAGCGGUGAAAUGCGUAGAUAUCUAGCGGAACGCCAAAAGGGAAGCCAGACGGCUGGGUCGUCGCUGACGCUCAGGCACGAAAGCGUGGGUAGCGAACGGGAUUAGAUACCCCCGUAGUCC
rnacentral:rRNA from 1 species